UAUCAAGUGGACGGCGCACUCAGAGUGAC
rnacentral:piRNA from 1 species